rnacentral:rRNA from 1 species
UACGUAGGGUGCAAGCGUUGUCCGGAUUUAUUGGGCGUAAAGAGCUCGUAGGCGGUCUGUCGCGUCGGAUGUGAAAACCCAGGGCUCAACCCUGGGCCUGCAUUCGAUACGGGCAGACUAGAGUACGGCAGGGGAGACUGGAAUUCCUGGUGUAGCGGUGAAAUGCGCAGAUAUCGGGAGGAACACCGGUGGCGAAGGCGGUUCUCUGGGCCUGUACUGGCGCUGAGGAGCGAAAGCGUGGGGAGCGAACAGG